UGGUGGAGUGAUUUGUCUGGUUAAUUCCGAUAACGAACGAGACCCCGCCUGCUAAAUAGUAGGGAUGAUGCGUUGCAUUGUUGCCUGCUUCUUAGAGGGACUUUCGGUGCUUUAGCCGAAGGAAGUUGGGGCAAUAACA
rnacentral:rRNA from 1 species